rnacentral:rRNA from 1 species
GACGAACGCUGGCGGCGUGCCUAAUACAUGCAAGUAGAACGCUGAAGAGAGGAGCUUACUCUUCUUGGAUGAGUUGCGAACGGGUGAGUAACGCGUAGGUAACCUGCCUUGUAGCGGGGGAUAACUAUUGGAAACGAUAGCUAAUACCGCAUAACAAUGGAUGACACAUGUCCUUUAUUUGAAAGGGGCAAUUGCUCCACUACAAGAUGGACUUGCGUUGUAUUAGCUAGUAGGUGAGGUAAUGGCUCACCUAGGCGACGAUACAUAGCCGACCUGAGAGGGUGAUCGGCCACACUGGGACUGAGACACGGCCCAGACUCCUACGGGAGGCAGCAGUAGGGAAUCUUCGGCAAUGGGGGCAACCCUGACCGAGCAACGCCGCGUGAGUGAAGAAGGUUUUCGGAUCGUAAAGCUCUGUUGUAAGUCAAGAACGGGUGUGAGAGUGAAAAGUUCACACUGUGACGGUAGCUUACCAGAAAGGGACGGCUAACUACGUG